GUUAAAAUAACGUAAACAAACGAGUCUGAGGAAGAAAGCGUACACUUAUAUGAGCAGAUGUAGCUGAUGGAGCAGAUGGAGGCAGAGGUGGUGGAGUUUGUGGUUCCAGUGGAGAACAGUAAAACUCUGUUUGUUUGGAACCUGGAGGCCUCUCAACCUGAACAUGUCCUGCUGGCCUCCCUCUCCUCCCUCUUCUCCUCCUUGGGCCUCUGUACCUCCUCAAACCUCUCUCCUACGUCUCCUGGGUUCUUGUCGGCUCUGGUCAAGUUUUUUCAUCUGGUCACGCGGCCCGAGCUCAGAGAGAGACCGACCGGAAAGGCCCUGCUCCAGAUGCCCUCCCACAGCCUGCUCCAGGACCGGCCGCUCAAGGUCAGAUGCCCUCCCCGUGUGUUCAGAUUGUGUCAUCUGCCCUCUCCAUGUAUCAGAUUGUGUCAGAUGCCCUUCUGUCC
ensembl:lncRNA